rnacentral:rRNA from 1 species
ACGGGAGGCAGUAGUAGGGAAUAUUGCACAAUGGGGGAAACCCUGAUGCAGCAACGCCACGUGUGGGAAGAAGCAUUUCGGUGUGUAAACCACUGUCAUGAGGGAAUAAUGCUUGCCUUCGGGCAAGUUGAAUGUACCUUGAGAGGAAGCACCGGCAAACUUCGUGCCAGCAGCCGCGGUAAUACGAGGGGUGCAAGCGUUGUUCGGAAUCACUGGGCGUAAAGGGAGCGUAGGCGGAACUGCAAGCGGUCUGUUCAAUCACGGGGCCCAACCCCGUACCAGCAGACCGGACUGCCGUUCUUGGAUAGUUCAGGGGAAGGCGGAAUUCCUGGUGUAGCGGUGGAAUGCGUAGAGAUCAGGAAGAACACCGAUGGCGAAGGCAGCCUUCUGGGGACUCAUCGACGCUGAUGCUCGAAAGUGCGGGUAGCAAACAGGAUUAGAUACCCUGGUA